rnacentral:rRNA from 1 species
AGUCGAACGGUAACAGGCCUUCGGGCGCUGACGAGUGGCGAACGGGUGAGUAAUGCAUCGGAACGUGCCCAGUCGUGGGGGAUAACUAUCCGAAAGGAUAGCUAAUACCGCAUACGAUCUGCGGAUGAAAGCGGGGGACCUUCGGGCCUCGCGCGAUUGGAGCGGCCGAUGUCAGAUUAGGUAGUUGGUGGGGUAAAGGCUCACCAAGCCAACGAUCUGUAGCUGGUCUGAGAGGACGACCAGCCACACUGGGACUGAGACACGGCCCAGACUCCUACGGGAGGCAGCAGUGGGGAAUUUUGGACAAUGGGCGCAAGCCUGAUCCAGCAAUGCCGCGUGCAGGAAGAAGGCCUUCGGGUUGUAAACUGCUUUUGUACGGAACGAAACGGCUCUGGUUAAUACCUGGGGCUAAUGACGGUACCGUAAGAAUAAGCACCGGCUAACUACGUGCCAG